GAAGAUCGGAGUGCUUGCACUCUGUGAAACAAGAUACAGGCUAGCGGCGGACGGGUGAGUAACACGUGGGUAACCUGCCCAAGAGAUCGGGAUAACACCUGGAAACAGAUGCUAAUACCGGAUAACAACAGAUGAUGCCUAUCAACUGUUUAAAAGAUGGUUCUGCUAUCACUCUUGGAUGGACCUGCGGUGCAUUAGCUAGUUGGUAGGGUAACGGCCUACCAAGGCGAUGAUGCAUAGCCGAGUUGAGAGACUGAUCGGCCACAUUGGGACUGAGACACGGCCCAAACUCCUACGGGAGGCAGCAGUAGGGAAUCUUCCACAAUGGACGCAAGUCUGAUGGAGCAACGCCGCGUGAGUGAAGAAGGGUUUCGGCUCGUAAAGCUCUGUUGUUGGUGAAGAAGGACAGGGGUAGUAACUGACCU
rnacentral:rRNA from 1 species